GGCUCAGAUGAAACGCUGGCGGAAUGCUUUACACAUGCAAGUCGAACGGCAGCACGGGGGCAACCCUGGUGGCGAGUGGCGAACGGGUGAGUAAUACAUCGGAACGUGCCCAGUCGUGGGGGAUAACUACGCGAAAGCGUAGCUAAUACCGCAUACGAUCUACGGAUGAAAGCGGGGGAUCGCAAGACCUCGCGCGAUUGGAGCGGCCGAUGGCAGAUUAGGUAGUUGGUGGGGUAAAGGCUCACCAAGCCUGCGAUCUGUAGCUGGUCUGAGAGGACGACCAGCCACACUGGGACUGAGACACGGCCCAGACUCCUACGGGAGGCAGCAGUGGGGAAUUUUGGACAAUGGGCGCAAGCCUGAUCCAGCCAUUCCGCGUGCAGGAUGAAGGCCCUCGGGUUGUAAACUGCUUUUGUACGGAACGAAAAGGCUCUUUCUAAUACAAGGGGCUCAUGACGGUACCGUAAGAAUAAGCACCGGCUAACUACGUGCCAGCAGCCGCGGUAAUACGUAGGGUGCAAGCGUUAAUCGGAAUUACUGGGCGUAAAGCGUGCGCAGGCGGUGAUGUAAGACAGUUGUGAAAUCCCCGGGCUCAACCUGGGAACAGCAUCUGUGACUGCAUCGCUGGAGUGCGGCAGAGGGGGAUGGAAUUCCGCGUGUAGCAGUGAAAUGCGUAGAUAUGCGGAGGAACACCGAUGGCGAAGGCAAUCCCCUGGGCCUGCACUGACGCUCAUGCACGAAAGCGUGGGGAGCAAACAGGAUUAGAUACCCUGGUAGUCCACGCCCUAAACGAUGUCAACUGGUUGUUGGGUCUUCACUGACUCAGUAACGAAGCUAACGCGUGAAGUUGACCGCCUGGGGAGUACGGCCGCAAGG
rnacentral:rRNA from 1 species